rnacentral:misc_RNA from 1 species
CUUGAUUUUUUGGACUUUAACGUUUUUUUCUUUGUUUAAGUAUGUUGUUUUCAUGUUGAGUGUGGAUGAUAACGGGGAAGGAGGAAUUUUUGCACUGUAUUCACUUCUUUGCAGGCAUGCGAAAUUUUGUUUGCUUCCUAAUCAACAAGCAGCAGAUGAGGAACUUUCUACAUAUCAUGGUGAAGGUCGUUCAAAUAGAAGUGCUCCUCCCUCUGCACUCAAGAAGUUUGUUGAGCGAC